rnacentral:rRNA from 1 species
GAUGAACGCUGACAGAAUGCUUAACACAUGCAAGUCAACUUGAACUUCGGUUUGGGUGGCGGACGGGUGAGUAACGCGUAAAGAACUUGCCUCACAGCUAGGGACAACAUUUGGAAACGAAUGCUAAUACCUGAUAUUAUGAUUUUAGGGCAUCCUAGAAUUAUGAAAGCUAUAUGCGCUGUGAGAGAGCUUUGCGUCCCAUUAGCUAGUUGGAGAGGUAACGGCUCACCAAGGCGAUGAUGGGUAGCCGGCCUGAGAGGGUGAACGGCCACAAGGGGACUGAGACACGGCCCUUACUCCUACGGGAGGCAGCAGUGGGGAAUAUUGGACAAGGGACCAAGAGUCUGAUCCAGCAAUUCUGUGUGCACGAUGAAGUUUUUCGGAAUGUAAAGUGCUUUCAGUUGGGAAGAAAAAAAUGACGGUACCAACAGAAGAAGUGACGGCUAAAUACGUG